GAAUCCGCYAAGGAGUGUGUAACAACUCACCUGCCGAAUGAAUUAGCCCUGAAAAUGGAUGGCGCUCAAGCGGGUAGCCGACACUGCACCAUUUAAGCUAGUUAUGUCUUAAAUGAGUAGGAGGAACGUGGCGGUUGUAUAGAAGCAUUCCCGCAAGGGGGUGUGGAACGGCCGCUAGUGCAGAUCUUGGUGGUAGUAGCAAAUAUUCAAAUGUGAUCCUUGAAGGAUCAGGUGGGGAAGGGUUCCACGCGAUCAUUGAUUGAGCGUGGGUUAGUCGGUCCUGAGCCGUCUGGCAAUUUCUAGCCACCGGCGAAAGGGAAACAGGUAAAGAUUCCUGUACUUUACAUGGUCUAGGGUAACCUCUCCCUUCCGGAUGACUCCCAGAAUGGCGUGGUUGAUAGUCCGCUGACAGAGAUCUCUUUUCUGUUUCACAAACCUCUGGGCCUCGAAAUCGGUUCGUCCUGAGUAGAGGUCCUUGCCCUUCGCGGGUGUGGUAGAGCAGCGUGAUUUUCCACGUUGUAUGCGUUGACUCCUGCGUCCCUUGAAGAGCUGGGCCCGGGCCUGUGAAAGCUUUUGCAUGAUCAGGUGGGAAAUUCCAUGUUUAACCGUACCCAUAACCGCAUCAGGUCCCCAAGGUGAACAGCCUCUGUCCAAUAUGAAUAAUGCAGGUAAGGGAAGUCGGCA
rnacentral:rRNA from 1 species